GAGCGAACGUUAGCGCGGGCCUAACACAUGCAAGUCGAGCGCGUUGUAGCAAUACAACGAGCGGCGCACGGGUGAGGAACACGUAGGUAAUCUACACUUCAGCGGGGAAUAACCUUCCGAAAGGAAAGCUAAUACCGCAUACGUCCAUUUUGACUCCGGUCGAAAUGGGGAAAGAUGGCCUCUUCUUGAAAGCUAUCACUGAAGAAUGAGCCUGCGUCCCAUCAGCUAGUUGGUAAGGUAACGGCUUACCAAGGCUAAGACGGGUAGCUGGUCUGAGAGGAUGAACAGCCACACUGGCACUGACACACGGGCCAGACUCCUACGGGAGGCAGCAGUGAGGAAUAUUGGACAAUGGGCGCAAGCCUGAUCCAGCCACGCCGCGUGAGUGAUGAAGGCCUUCGGGUCGUAAAGCUCUGUGGAAAGGGACGAAAGUGCACGGUUCAAAUAGGGCCGUGUUUUGACAGUACCUUUAUAGCAAGCACCGGCUAACUCUGUGCCAGCAGCCGCGGUAA
rnacentral:rRNA from 1 species